rnacentral:rRNA from 1 species
AUUGAACGCUGGCGGCAGGCUUAACACAUGCAAGUCGAGCGGAGAGAGGUAGCUUGCUACUGAUCUUAGCGGCGGACGGGUGAGUAAUGCUUAGGAAUCUGCCUAUUAGUGGGGGACAACAUUUCGAAAGGAAUGCUAAUACCGCAUACGUCCUACGGGAGAAAGCAGGGGAUCUUCGGACCUUGCGCUAAUAGAUGAGCCUAAGUGGGAUUAGCUAGUUGGUGGGGUAAAGGCCUACCAAGGCGACGAGCUGUAGCGGGUCUGAGAGGAUGAUCCGCCACACUGGGACUGAGACACGGCCCAGACUCCUACGGGAGGCAGCAGUGGGGAAUAUUGGACAAUGGGCGGAAGCCUGAUCCAGCCAUGCCGCGUGUGUGAAGAAGGCCUUAUGGUUGUAAAGCACUUUAAGCGAGGAGGAGGCUACUUUAGUUAAUACCUAGAGAUAGUGGACGUUACUCGCAGAAUAAGCACCGGCUAACUCUGUGCCAGCAGCCGCCGCAG